rnacentral:rRNA from 1 species
UACGGGAGGCAGCAGUGGGGAAUUUUUCGCAAUGGGCGCAAGCCUGACGACGCAACGCCGCGUGGAGGAUGAAGGUCUUCGGAUUGUAAACUCCUGUUGAUCGGGACGAAAAGCUCCAGCUUAAUACGUUGGAGACUGACGGUACCGGUUGAGGAAGCCACGGCUAACUCUGUGCCAGCAGCCGCGGUAAUACAGAGGUGGCAAGCGUUGUUCGGAAUUACUGGGCGUAAAGGGCGCGUAGGCGGCCUUCUAAGUCGGACGUGAAAGCCCCAGGCUUAACCUGGGAACUGCGUCCGAUACUGGGAGGCUUGGAUUCGGGAGAGGGAUGUGGAAUUCCAGGUGUAGCGGUGAAAUGCGUAGAUAUCUGGAGGAACACCGGUGGCGAAGGCGGCAUCCUGGACCGAGAUCGACGCUGAGGCGCGAAAGCUAGGGGAGCAAACGGGAUUAGAUACCCCGGUAGUCCUAGCCCUAAACGAUGAGUGCUUGGUGUGGCGGGUAUCGAUCCCUGCCGUGCCGAAGCUAACGCAUUAAGCAUUCCGCCUGGA